rnacentral:rRNA from 1 species
GCACAAGCGGUGGAGCAUUGUGGUUUAAUUCGAAGCAACGCGAAGAACCUUACCAGGUCUUGACAUCCCGAUGCUAUUUCUAGAGAUAGAAAGUUACUUCGGUACAUCGGUGACAGGUGGUGCAUGGUUGUCGUCAGCUCGUGUCGUGAGAUGUUGGGUUAAGUCCCGCAACGAGCGCAACCCCUAUUGUUAGUUGCCAUCAUUCAGUUGGGCACUCUAGCGAGACUGCCGGUAAUAAACCGGAGGAAGUGGGGAUGACGUCAAAUCAUCAUGCCCCUUAUGACCUGGGCUACACACGUGCUACAAUGGUUGGUACAACGAGUUGCGAGUCGGUGACGGCGAGCUAAUCUCUUAAAGCCAAUCUCAGUUCGGAUUGUAGGCUGCAACUCGCCUACAUGAAGUCGGAAUCGCUAGUAAUCGCGGAUCAGCACGCCGCGGUGGAUACGUUCCCGGGCCUU